CUCCCGGGAGGCGGCGGCUGUGACUUGCAGUUAGGAUGUCCUGGAUCCGAGUGCCGGAGUCGGUGUUAUGAUGUGAAAUUUCCUGAAUCCCGGGCAAGAGUUCUAAUAACUGAGUAGAACUUCGGCCAACUCCGGUUUUGAUACUCUUUAUUUGAUGAUCUGGAAAAGGGGAUGUGAACUGAAGGCCUGUGAUCUCUGACAUGGAUGAACGGAAUGAACUGAGUGAACCCUUCGAGCAUUGUAGAAACUAACAGAAAAUCAGCUACUGCGCUGCUUGCUACCGGGCGUCUCUACGGGUGGACAGACGUCAAAGGAAAGUCAAUUGCUGCCCUCUCCUUCUGUGUAACUUCCUGAUCUAACUUGAACGUAACCACUAUCACAGCACAAUGUAGAUUAGUAGCAAAGAUGCAUUGAAGUCUGAGCGAGCGGGAUGUGAUUCACACUACAUCUCAGAACGUUGUCAUGUUCUAGGUAGGGGGGUGGUGACAGUAGUGACAAAGCACUGGUGUGAGGGACACCAGAAGGGAAACGGGAGCCAUCAGCUUAAUCUGUAAUAUGAUUAAUAAUAAUGAACAGCAAAGGAUGCAGCCCGCGUGCAGACAUCUAGUAUCAUCAUUUACACAUAGCGAACUUGGUUCCACCCUAGACGAGGGCCGUCCUGGGAUACUACAUCAGUUUCUCAUCUAAUGAGUUCACAACAACACAAGACAGAUGCUUGGUGGCAAGCACCUUUACCUAUUAAGCCAUCUUUAAAGUCCUGAAAAAAAACCUUUGAUAAAGCCUAACUCCUGGAACAUAGAUAUUCAGAAUGGUUUGAGCAGAACUAGCAAACAACAUGUUAUAUGGAGAAGCUUUUAAAGCAGUGGUUCUCAACCCGUGGGUCUCGACCCCUUAGGGUUGAAACACCCUUUCACAUGGGUCAAAAAUCAAAUAUCUUGCAUGUCAGAUAGUUACAUUAUGAUUCAUAACAUCAGAAAAAUUAUAACGACGAAGUAGCAAUGAAAUAAUUCUGUGUUUGGGAGUUACCACAACAUCAAGAACUGUAUUAUAAGGUGAUAGCAUCAGGAAGGUUGAGAACCAGUGAUUUAAAGGCUAUUGUUCCUUUAAGUAAAAAUAUCUAUAAUCUAUCAUAAGACUUGUCAACACUUAUGAUGACCAGGGGGGGGUGAAUGGAUCAUAUUUGAAAUCAGCCAAUCAAAUGAACCCCUGGGAAACAGACCCAGACUCUCUUCUUCUCUGUUGUCACCUUUGCCUAUGUCUUCUGAUACUACAGGGAUUUAAACUAUAGUUCAUGAAUCAAUGACUAUUGAGUGACCUGAAAAAGCUAGCUUGGGUUAAGUAGUAAUCCAGUCCUUAAUGAGUUGGAGUGUGAGUCUAAAUGAAAUAAAAAAAUUAAAAACAAAAAACCCAAAGCUAUUAAAAAAAAAACAAAAACCUGAUUUUGGUGUCUGUAAGUGUGAGAAACACACCUAGAAUGGCGGCAACAUCUUUUCCCAUUCUUUGGUUCUCUUGAGGAUUAUUCUCAGUUGCUCCAACAUUUCUAAACACAACCUCUUCCUCCUUGUUCUACCUACAAGCUAGCAAGGCAGCCUGAUCCCCAAGGGUCUCUAAUGAACAACUCGCUUCUGCAAUCAUUAAUUCUUGGGAUAAUCCUUAUUCUUUCUUCAGUCACAAAAAUUAUUUUUCCUAGCUAUUUAAUGUCAGUAUAGUAUAGAGGUAUUGAGAUAAAACAGGUGGCCAAGCCAGACUUUUGGUAGUCCCCAAAGCCAAGGAAUCUUUCAGCUCUUCCCCAAAACUUACGGAAUUAAGUUGUUUCUAGGAUGAACAGAAGCAUGGGUUUAGAGCCCAAGAACUGGCAGGGCACUGAGUUUUUAUUCCAACGGUCCAGGCUUUGAGUUCCCGUUCAGGCAACAAACAUCAAUUUUGACUUUGGCAGAUUUAAUCAGAAUAAAUCAAUUAUCAUUAUAGAAAUUAAAACCUGGUCUGCCUUUACUCAGUUCUAUCUUCCAACUUGAAUGGUUUGUGGGUUCUCUGAAGUUUAGAGUUGUGGUCAUAAAAAGGAAAAACAAACAAGCAAAACCCCUUUGAUUUAAUUAUUUAGCAUUAUGAUGGUUUUAUGUUCCCUUGUCUGGUAUAGGAGGGUUUCUUAUUCUAGAGGUAGGGUCAGCUUGGUCCUGCUCACAGACAGACUCUGGAGAGCUGUGACUUUUGUCUUUUGAUCUCAGAAUUCUUCGUGUGUCACAUAACCACCCUGCAAACAACUGUCUAAAAUCCUAACAAGUUUUAUGAUUGUGUGAGAGCCUACAACAGGUCUGCACAAAUUCAAUCCAGACACAGUCCCAGGGUGAAGUGGACACAAAGUCCCAACCCCUAAUCCUGAAGCUAUUUGCAAUUGGUACCUGCUCUUGAGAAGGAAAAUCAACUACAUUUUAGGCCAUGACUCAUGCUCGGGCAUAGUUGUUAACCAACACAAAAUGAAUUCUCUGUGUGCUUUUGUGUUGUUAUGGGAGAGUGUAUGGUCUCAUAGGAAAUACUGCUAUUUCCAACUCUCUCUCUCAAAUUGUGUGUGUGUGUGUGGGGGGGGGUGGAUUGGGAGAAUCUGGAAAGAAUUGGGGUGGGAUAUGACCAAAAUACAUUGUAUAAAAAAAUAUGAAAUUCAAAAAUAAUUUCAAAAUGUAAUUUUAAAAAGCAUCAUGUUGGCUAUUGACUUUAUGGUUUUCCUUACAAUGGCAUUCUCCUUACCCCAAUGAUUUAAAUAAUCUAUAAUGAAUUGUAUGUAUGUAUGUGUGUCCAAUAUUAUAUGGACUUUUUUGAGACUUUAAAUGGAGUUUGGGCAAAAAGUCUUUUUUACCUGAUGUAUGGUGGAUAUUCAGAUGGUGGGUUAUUCUUCAGGCAAGUCGAACGUUGUCUAAGGUAGUUCUGGAAAUCGCAAACUUGUCUGACUAUAAACUUUAGAUGUGAUGUUUGUAUGUUCUAAAGCCCUAUAGAGGGAAAGGGGGCUUGUAGAUUAUUGAUAGAAAUAUAGUUAAACAAAUUUUGAAGAGUAUAGCCUGGGUCCACCCAUGGAGGAGGAUAAUGGCCAGUUCUGGGCUAGCCUGGGCUGUAAAAUUAAAGCCUAUCUCAAACAAACAAAUAAAAUAAAAUAAAAUAGAGCUGGGGUUGUAGACCUCUUGGCUGGCAUGUGUAAGACUGAAUUUUUUUCUAAAACACUGGAAAGAAAGGAAAAGAUGAUUUGUGGGGGUGGAGGGUAUGUAAAUGUGACUUUUUGAGAGCAAAAUAAUUAAACAGUUAAUUUCCAGUAAAAUGAUAACCUAAGAUUUGAUUCUCCCAUAGUUUUCAUUCACCAACUUCGAAAUUCUGACGUGGAAACUGACGUCUUAAAGUUACAGAUACAAGGGGAGUAGUCACUAAGCUUGUGAGCUAGUGGCUCUGAGCCCCACAGCCCAGCUCGGGUUACUACUGCCCCUCCCGACGUUCCCCUAUCACCCUGCUGAAGGACCCGGCUUCAUCUCCCAGAGAAUCCUGGGGAGGGUACUGAAAUAGAUGAACCCAGCUUAGAAUCAGUGGCGUUGAAUGAACGUUCCUCUCGGAAAGGUCAUAGAGGCUGUCCUAAUCAGACUGGGUGUUGUGAUCUGAUUCAAAACAAUUGCAAAAAACGCAGCCCCAGAUAGAGCUCAUUUGGUGACCACCAAACAGACUAAGGUCAUCGUCCUUGGUAUCCCAAAAUAGAAACAAAUAGCGCUGGCGACCUCCCCGUCGGGGAAUCGAACCCCGGUCUCCCGCGUGACAGGCGGGGAUACUCACCACUAUACUAACGAGGAGAACAGUUUGAGCUUUAAUGAUGUUAAGUGAAGUCCCAAUGAAGUGAUGUUUUCUUCCCCCUUUUCUUUUGUUUCCUUUUCCUUCCUUUUUCGUUUCCUUCUCUUUCUCCCUUCUUUUCUCCCUCCUCACCAACGCCCUCUAGGCAAACACAAAGCUCUUCAUCUGCCAAGAACAGCUAAGACACAGCCCUUGUUUCAAAUAACAGCAAAGAAUAAAAAGACAGGCAUUCUGUAGCCACAACUGGCCUCCAGCUCGUGGUAAUCCUUCUGCCUCUAUCUCUCCAAUGCUGGGCCAUCAUGCCUGGCUAAACCUAACUAUUUCAAAUGAAAAAGAAUGAGGCUGAAAGUGAACACAGUGGACUUGUGAAGAGAGCAUUUGGCUCCUACUACCAGGCUCAAGGACCGAGAUCCAUAACGCGGAGUUCUCAGCACCUUUGCUGUAAGUGAACUGGUCUAGCAGGUUGCGCAAAGAAAUAUGAACUCAAAGGCUAAGAUUAAUCAUUUUAAAGGGGUUAUUUGGAGACAGGUUACCACAUAGCUC